GAUGAACGCUGGCGGCGUGCCUAAUACAUGCAAGUCGAGCGAACAGAUGAGGAGCUUGCUCCUCUGACGUUAGCGGCGGACGGGUGAGUAACACGUGGAUAACCUACCUAUAAGACUGGGAUAACUUCGGGAAACCGGAGCUAAUACCGGAUAAUAUAUUGAACCGCAUGGUUCAAUAGUGAAAGACGGUUUUGCUGUCACUUAUAGAUGGAUCCGCGCCGCAUUAGCUAGUUGGUAAGGUAACGGCUUACCAAGGCAACGAUGCGUAGCCGACCUGAGAGGGUGAUCGGCGACACUGGAGCUGAGACACGGUCCAGACUCCUACGGGAGGCAGCAGUAGGGAAUCUUCCGCAAUGGGCGAAAGCCUGACGGAGCAACGCCGCGUGAGUGAUGAAGGUCUUCGGAUCGUAAAACUCUGUUAUUAGGGAAGAACAAAUGUGUAAGUAACUAUGCACGUCUUGACGGUACCUAAUCAGAAAGCCACGGCUAACUACGUG
rnacentral:rRNA from 1 species